AGAACGAACGCUGGCGGCAGGAUUAACACAUGCAAGUCGAACGCUCCGCAAGGAGAGUGGCAGACGGGUGAGUAACGCGUGGGAAUCUACCUAGUUCUACGGAACAACAGUUGGAAACGACUGCUAAUACCGUAUACGCCCUACGGGGGAAAGAUUUAUCGGAAUUAGAUGAGCCCGCGUAAGAUUAGCUAGUUGGUGGGGUAAUGGCCUACCAAGGCGACGAUCUUUAGCUGGUCUGAGAGGAUGAUCAGCCACACUGGGACUGAGACACGGCCCAGACUCCUACGGGAGCAGCAGUGGGGAAUAGUUGGACAACGGGCGCAAGCCUGAUCCAGCCAUGCCGCGUGAGUGAUGAAGGUCCGUUAGGGUUGUAAAGCUUCGUUUCGAGGUGGGGAAGAUAAGUAGACCGGUACCAACGAGAACGAACGCCCCGGCUUAAACCGUUCCGACGCCAGCCACGCCGAC
rnacentral:rRNA from 1 species